rnacentral:SRP_RNA from 2 species
UCGUGCUAGAUGGGGAGCUGGCGGUGCCCUGUACCCGCAAUCCGCCUUAGCGGGGUCGAAUUCCUCUUCGAGGUCCGGUGCUUCGGGACUGGCGACGACACGCGGUGUCGAUGGAAGGGUCCCGCGCGGCGGGGAACGGCGAACCCGGUCAGGACCGGAAGGUAGCAGCCGUAAACCGACCUCCCCGGGUGACGUGGGGAAGCCCAACCGGAGCAAGCGAUCGCCGACAAGCCGGGUCAUCAGGAUCGACAAGGGGUGCACGG